GAUGAACGCUGGCGGCGUGCUUAACACAUGCAAGUCGAACGAGAAGUGAAGACGGAAACCUUCGGGCGGAAGGCUUUAUUUCGAGUGGCGGACGGGUGAGUAACGCGUGGGUAACCUGCCUCAUACAGGGGGAUAACAGUUGGAAACGACUGUUAAUACCGCAUAAGACCACAGCACCGCAUUGUGCGGGGGUAAAAACUCCGGUGGUAUGAGAUGGACCCGCGUUCGAUUAGCCAGUUGGCGGGGUAACGGCCCACCAAAGCGACGAUCGCUAGCCGAAACGAGAGGAUGACCGGCCACAUUGGGACUGAGACACGGCCCAAACUCCUGCGGGAGGCAGCAGUGGGGAAUAUUGCACAAUGGGGGAAACACUGAUGCAGCGGCGCCGCGUGAGUGAAGAAGUAUUUAGGUAUGUAAAGCUCUAUCAGCAGGGAAGAAAAUGACGGUACCUGAGUAAGAAGCCCCGGCUAACUACGU
rnacentral:rRNA from 1 species